rnacentral:SRP_RNA from 1 species
ACUGGAAGGUUGGCAUCUUCUGUAAUCACGCUUCUGUGAGGUCGGAUUGUGAGGAUGGUCUGAAGUUGGGGUUCCUUGCGGAGGAGUUCUCCGUGUUGACGGAACGUCCGCACUAAGCUUGCCGUCAAUAUGGGUGCCACGGAGGAGUCCGAGGCAUUCAGGUUGCUAAGGAGGGAUGAAACGGGCCAGGGGUGAAAACCAGCAGUCAAGAGUUC